GACUGCCCAGCUCAGUUCCUCAUUUUAUAAGUAAUGUUUAAGAGCAAUGACCCACUCCUACUUUCAGCAAAGAGGUGCACAUAGCAUAGACCCAUAGAAGAGGAAGGAUCUGAGAAGGAGUUUGAAAAAAGUGUAGGAGAGGCUGCGAGAAAACAAGGCAGGUGUCCUGGCUGAGGGCAGGAAGGAGACAUUGCGAUGGAAAUUGUGCCCCAUUUUCUUGGAGGAUUGGGAAGAGGACCUGUGGACUGGGCGGCCCACACAACUGCUGUAACCUCAGGCAGUUUUCAAGCAGAUUGACCUUCCUGCUGGAACACGGCACAUGAGGUGAAGUUCUCCUCUACCCAGGGGUUGCUUGGCCUUGCCUCCACCAUGCCUGACACUGGCGCUCUGCUGGGAGGAAAAAGCUUGCUCUGUUGCUGGCUGUGUGGAACAGAGAGGGAAGUGGCAGACAGUCUGGGCCCAGCACUUGGGUAUCGUGCUCUAGCCAUGCGACUCAUCUCUCCAGUUCAGACCUGCCCCUGGAAAAAAGAGCCCAGACCUCAUCAUGAAUGCUUUCCUAGGAGAAAAUGAACAGCUGGACAAUGCUCCUGGUCAGUAGGCCUGAAGGAUGCUGGGAUGCAGCCCUCAAGAUGGAACAGCCAGGAUGCCAAGUAUCCCUCUUGCCCAGAUCCUAAGGCACUUUUUCUACUGAUCCAUAUUGGCCUCAGGAGAUGUCUCAACACAGCACCCCAGCCAAUGGAGCUGCCACAUAAGAUGAACUCUUGAUCAUCUCUAAACUAGAGAGUUAAACUCAACACUAGCAAACGACUUUGGGUUUAUGCAUAUGUCAUGUUUUCUCUGGCAACUGCACAGAAUCAUCUCUAAAUAUCACAUCUAUGGUUGGCAGGAGUGGCAUGUAUAAUACAAAAUGUCUGGUGGCCCUACUGUCACAAAACCUGUAUAAAAGUAAAUUCACAAAUGGCUUUUUAGAACUGAUGACAAAAAGUUACUCGUUAUCACUUUUCUAAUUAAUUUCCUAAAAGGGCAAUUUGAAAUCAUACUGGGAUUCUCACAAUUUUGGUUGACAGUCAAGUAAAUUGCAGCUACUUAUCAAGCACUUUUGAAUGAAUACAUGAAGAAUGAAUAAAAUGAAAGCUCUCCUGUUGCCCUCAGCAUCACCAGUGUUCUGUAUUUCUUCCU
rnacentral:lncRNA from 10 species